rnacentral:rRNA from 1 species
UACGGGGGGGUGCGAGCGUUGUCCGGAAUCACUGGGCGUAAAGGGCGCGUAGGUGGUUUGAUAAGGGUGUGGUGAAAGUCCGGGGCUCAACCCCGGAUCUGCCGUGCCGACUGUCAAACUCGAGGACUGUAGAGGCAGACGGAAUUCCGGGUGUAGCGGUGGAAUGCGUAGAGAUCCGGAAGAACACCGGUGGCGAAGGCGGUCUGCUGGGCAGUUGCUGACGCUGAUGCGCGACAGCGUGGGGAGCAAACAGG